rnacentral:rRNA from 1 species
ACGCUCGACACCUACGGAGGCAGCAGUAGGGAAUCUUCCACAAUGGGCGCAAGCCUGAUGGAGCAACACCGCGUGAGUGAAGAAGGGUUUCGGCUCGUAAAGCUCUGUUGUUGGAGAAGAACGUGCGUGAGAGUAACUGUUCACGCAGUGACGGUAUCCAACCAGAAAGUCACGGCUAACUACGUGUCAGCAGCCGCGGUAAUCUGAGCGGGCUGGCAAGGC